AGUGAACGCUGGCGGUAGGCCUAACACAUGCAAGUCGAACGGCAGCACAGUAAGAGCUUGCUCUUACGGGUGGCGAGUGGCGGACGGGUGAGGAAUACAUCGGAAUCUACUUUUUCGUGGGGGAUAACGUAGGGAAACUUACGCUAAUACCGCAUACGACCUACGGGUGAAAGCAGGGGAUCUUCGGACCUUGCGCGAUUGAAUGAGCCGAUGUCGGAUUAGCUAGUUGGCGGGGUAAAGGCCCACCAAGGCGACGAUCCGUAGCUGGUCUGUGAGGAUGAUCAGCCACACUGGAACUGAGACACGGUCCAGACUCCUACGGGAGGCAGCAGUGGGGAAUAUUGGACAAUGGGCGCAAGCCUGAUCCAGCCAUACCGCGUGGGUGAAGAGGGCCUUCGGGUUGUAAAGCCCUUUUGUUGGGAAAGAAAAGCAGCAGGUUAAUACCCCGCUGUUCUGACGGUACCCAAAGAAUAAGCACCGGCUAACUUCGUG
rnacentral:rRNA from 1 species